rnacentral:rRNA from 1 species
AGAGUUUGAUCAUGGCUCAGAAUCAACGCUGGCGGCGUGCCUCAGACAUGCAAGUCGAACGAUUAAACUCCGUUUCGGGAAGAUAUAAAGUGGCGUACGGGUGAGUAACACGUAGGUAAUGUACCGUUUGGUGGGAAUAACUUAGGGAAACUUAAGCUAAUACCGCAUAAUGCAGCGGCUCGAUAUCGAGACAGUUGUUAAAGGAGUAAUCCGCCUAAAGAGCAGCCUGCGGCAGAUUAGCUAGUUGGUAAGGUAAUGGCUUACCAAGGCUACGAUCUGUAACCGACCUGAGAGGGUGGUCGGUCACACUGACACUGAAUAACGGGUCAGACUCCUACGGGAGGCAGCAGUCGGGAAUUUUGGGCAAUGGGCGAAAGCCUGACCCAGCAACGCCGCGUGAAGGAUGAAGUCUCUCGGGAUGUAAACUUCGUAAGAAUAGGAAGAAUAAAUGACGGUACUAUUUGUAAGGUCCGGCUAACUACGUG